AGCGGAGGAAAAGAAACCAACCGGGAUUGCCCUAGUAACGGCGAGUGAAGCGGCAAGAGCUCAAAUUUGAAAGCUGGCUCCUUCGGGGUCCGCAUUGUAAUUUGCAGAGGAUGCUUCGGGAGCGGUCCCCAUCUAAGUGCCCUGGAACGGGCCGUCAUAGAGGGUGAGAAUCCCGUCUGGGAUGGGGUGYCCGCGCCCGUGUGAAGCUCCUUCGACGAGUCGAGUUGUUUGGGAAUGCAGCUCUAAUUGGGUGGUAAAUUUCAUCUAAAGCUAAAUAUUGGCCGGAGACCGAUAGCGCACAAGUAGAGUGAUCGAAAGAUGAAAAGCACUUUGAAAAGAGAGUUAAACAGCACGUGAAAUUGUUGAAAGGGAAGCGCUUGCGAYCAGACUCGCCCGCGGGGUUCAGCCGGCAUUCGUGCCGGUGUACUUCCCCGYGGGCGGGCCAGCGUCGGUUUGGGCGGCCGGUCAAAGGCCCCUGGAAUGUAACGCCUCUCGGGGCGUCUUAUAGCCAGGGGUGCCAUGCGGCCUGCCCGGACCGAGGAACGCGCUUCGGCUCGGACGCUGGCAUAAUGGUCGUAAGCGACCCGUCUUGAAACACGGACCAAGGAGUCUAACAUCUACGCGAGUGUUCGGGUGUCAAACCCGUGCGCGCAGUGAAAGCGAACGGAGGUGGGAACCCCCCGGGGUGCACCAUCGACCGAUCCUGAUGUCUUCGGAUGGAUUUGAGUAAGAGCGUAGCUGUUGGGACCCGAAAGAUGGUGAACUAUGCCUGAAUAGGGCGAAGCCAGAGGAAACUCUGGUGGAGGCUCGCAGCGGUUCUGACGUGCAAAUCGAUCGUCAAAUUUGGGUAUAGGGGCGAAAGACUAAUCGAACCAUCUAGUAGC
rnacentral:rRNA from 1 species